rnacentral:rRNA from 1 species
AUUGAACGCUGGCGGCAGGCUUAACACAUGCAAGUCGAGCGAGCGGCGGACGGGUGAGUAAUGUCUGGGAAACUGCCUGAUGGAGGGGGAUAACUACUGGAAACGGUAGCUAAUACCGCAUACCAUCAGAUGUGCCCAGAUGGGAUUAGCUGGUAGGUGGGGUAAUGGGUCACCUAGGCGACGAUCCCUAGCUGGUCUGAGAGGAUGACGAGCGACUCUGGAACUGAGGCACGGUCCAGAAUCCUACGGGAGGCAGGAGUGGGGAAUAGUGCACAAUGGGCGCAAGCCUGAUGCUACCAGUCCGCGUGUUUGAGAAAGGCCUUCGGGUUGUAAAGCACUUUCAGCGAGGAGGCGUUAAUCACAGAAGAAGCACCGGCUAACUCCGUGCCAGCCGCCGCGGUAAUUG